AGGAAGAAUCAGCACUCUGGCUCCCUUUCAGGGAGGAUCCUCAUCAGAAUUAAAUCCCCUGGAUCCAUGAUCUCUUUACACCUGAGGAAGCACCUGUUUCCUGCCCUGGGACAAUUUUUAACUGAACUGGCAGUCUGGUGCAAAGUGAGAAGUCAUUAAAUGGGUCAAGAGUUGACUAAAACAGUCGCACUUGCAUGAUGUACAGCAUACAGUUCACAGAUCAGAGCAAGAACAACAUCACUUAGUUGCACCCAGGGCAAGGUAGAAGCCCCCUGCACUACAAUCCACACAUUUCUCCAGCUCAGCAUUGUUCCCAACAUGAUGAAAGCAUUGAUCCUGGUCCUUGGCCUCCUGUUGCUGCCUCCAGACUUGCAGUUGGUGGAUUCAAGCACCAUAACCUGCAAAUAUCUAAAAGGAACCUGCAGUUAUCUCCCUUGUGAACCAGACUAUAAUGAAGGAAAAAAACUGUGCGAUGAUGGGACGGACUGCUGUUAUCCGUAAUUGUGCACGAUGGCAGAACAGCCUGAAUUCCCCAAGUUCCAACUGGGGAAAGGAUUCAUCCUAAUCGUCGCGUGGCUUCCACCUCCCCUUCAGUAUUCCUCAACCGACGAGACAAUAGAUAAAACGAAAAAAAAAUAAAACUCCAUUGACUGACC